rnacentral:rRNA from 1 species
UACGUAGGGGGCAAGCGUUGUCCGGAAUCAUUGGGCGUAAAGAGCGCGUAGGCGGUCCGGUAAGUCCGCUCUGAAAGUCCGGGGCUCAACCCCGGGAGGCGGGCGGAUACUGUCGGGCUAGAGUCCGGAAGAGGCGAGUGGAAUUCCUGGUGUAGCGGUGAAAUGCGCAGAUAUCAGGAGGAACACCCGUGGCGAAGGCGGCACUCUGGGACGGUACUGACGCUGAGACGCGAAAGCGUGGGGAGCAAACAGG